GUAAAUUGUCCCUAGUAUAUAGGAUAGUACUAGUGUACAGGGAUUAUGACAGAAGCCACCUCGUGGCGAUCCCCGGAAAUGACGACACGAUGCACUCUGCGACGCGUCGGGCGACCAAUUCUGUCAACAUGUUGGA